rnacentral:rRNA from 1 species
UACGGAGGGUGCGAGCGUUAAUCGGAAUUACUGGGCGUAAAGCGCACGAGGCGGUUUGUUAAGCAAGAUGUGAAAGCCCCGGGCUCAACCUGGGAACUGCAUUCUGAUGGCAGACUAGAGUCUUGGAGAGGGGGGGUGGAAUUCCAGGUGUAGCGGUGAAAUGCGUAGAGAUCUGGAGGAACAUCAGUGGCGAAGGCGGCCCCCUGGCCAAAAGACUGACGCUCAUGUGCGAAAAGUGUGGGGUAGCGAACAGGAUUAGAUACCCGUGUAGUCC